rnacentral:lncRNA from 1 species
UAAAGGAUGUGGGCGUGGUUAUAUCUCGUGGGGAGGGGCAAUAGUAGGACGGUUGGGUGGUGCGUAACGGGGUGUGUGGCUGUCCUGGGGGCGUGAUCUUUAUCUGAAGGGUUGGGUGUAACAAUGAGUGGGGCGUGGUGAUGCCCUGGGGGCGUGGUCAGGAGUGGGGCAUAGCUCGGGACGGGGCGUGGUCAGGAGUGGGGCGUGGCUCCGGCUGCAGAAGGCGUCCAAAGCUCCAGGAGCAGCUCAGGCAAAAACCGUGUGGAUCUAAUAGCCCUAGGGGAGCGGAAGGCCAGUGACCGGGUUGUGGGCGGACACGAGGGCAGUGAGAAGACAGGCAGGCCUGCGGGCGGCCCUACCUGCCCAGCCAUGUGGCACCCGUUUGUCCUGAUGCUGCUGCUGCUCUCCGUCGUCCCCAUCCCCAGCGCCACUGCCGUUCCCAUCCCGGAUGCCAGAAGCCAGGACAGCCUGCAGAGCUUUCUCCAAGGUACUCAAGCUGGAAGAGAAAGAGGGCCAUGGGCGAUCGCAAAUCAAGUUCCUCACUCUGAUUGUCCUCUUGGGUUAUGAGCCCCAAAGCCCCGGAAGCUGGCCUGCGGCUCUGUGAGCAGCCUCCACGGCUACAGGCCGUCUGCCCCAUCUUGAAGGGGGCCUGCCCCGAAGCGAGACCUGGGGCCUCCCUCAGUUCAAACAGCCCACCCCCACGACCCACUUGAGGCUCAGCAGCAGCUGUUGGGGCUGGGGGUGGGCACCAGAGCACUGGCAGGGGACAGACAUGUAUCUUACCAGACCCCAUCCCCAGCUUCAUUUAGAAAUAAAGUCCUUUCUUACAGUCAGCUGUGCUGUUUCCUUUCAGGGCCUGUCCCCAGUACUUGGCCAACUAAAAAUACUUUCUUCUACCUGAUUUACAAGCUCCUGUAGCAGCAAGAUGAUGCAUGAUGCUUACCAGAGAGUGUGGCUUGCAUUUAGUUCUCAAAAAUAUUUCGUCA